rnacentral:rRNA from 1 species
UUCUCCUACGGGGGGCAGCAGUGAGGAAUAUUGGUCAAUGGGCGAGAGCCUGAACCAGCCAAGUCGCGUGAGGGAAGACGGCCCUACGGGUUGUAAACCUCUUUUGUCAGGGAGCAAGAACGGAUACGUGUAUCCGAGCGAGAGUACCUGAAGAAAAAGCAUCGGCUAACUCCGUGCCAGCAGCCGCGGUAAUACGGAGGAUGCGAGCGUUAUCCGGAAUUAUUGGGUGUAAAGGGUGCGUAGACGGGAAAACAAGUUAGUUGUGAAAUCCCUCGGCUUAACUGAGGAACUGCAACUAAAACUAU